CCAGGCUCAUCGAACAGAGUUCGACAACAGUUCAUAAAUAUAAGUAUAUAUAUAUAAAAGCAAUAAACGCUUCAGAUGUAAAAUCCAGGCUCAUCAGACAGAGUCUGACAAUAGUUUAUAUAUAUAUAUAAGCAAUUAAGCAUUCCAGGCAUAAGUCUAGGCUCAAUCGAGGCAUAACUCGAUAAUGCUAAUCCAUAUAUAAAUAUAUACAUAUAUAAGUAUAUAUAUACAGGCAGAAAUGAAAACCAUGGACCGAAGUCCGGGCAUACACACACAACACGACUCUCAAUGUGAAGAAUAGUGUGUGCAAAGAUAAAGAGAAAGACAUUAUAGAGUGUGAGAAGGCUUACAGUGGGCUAUCAAGGCAGGCUUCUAUGACUCUAGAUGGAUAAACACUCAGCUCCCGCCGGUAAAAUAUAGCUAUAUGUGAGCUAACAGGUGUUUAAAAUGAGAACGCACUCAAUAUGGGGUGUGUACAGAGCAAAUUGGACAGGGCUUCCUCGCCUUUUUUUCUCUUAUAAAUGGCCACCCCAAGCUCUAUAUUUAUAGAUCUGGGAGCCGCAGGUGUACCUGCGGCAGCCGCAGAUGGACCUGCAGCUGCCCGGGGUGCCCCGGGCUCUGCGGGUCCCACCAUCUCGUGCACUGUGAUGUCCGAUCGAACUUGCAGAACUUCAAUCCGAGCAUCCGAACGAGGUGUACAAGACCUUCUUCGGACCGCUUUUGUCGAGAGUUACGCAAUGACAUGGGUUUAGAGGUUGUACGAAGUCAGUAAGAGGGGACCAUGCUCAUGGUCUUCAAGCUUCAAAUUUUAUCCGGUGUGCUGCCACGCUUAAUAGUCACUCGAGAUUGGAACUCCUUGGCUCUUGUGGGACAUUGUUGUGUAGAAAUGUAUGUAUGAAAUGUUGAGACGGUGCGCUGGGGUUGUGGCGACCCCAAAUCCGGAUACUUGAAACCCGAACUUGGUUCUCCACGAUACGAUUUCUUUAAGCUGAAUAAUACUAAAUAAUAAUAAUAAUAUAAUUCGAACUUAAUUUACAUACAUCAAAGUUUACUUUCCCAGGUACGUGACCUUCAAAUACAUUCCUUACAAUACCUGACAAUAGAUUCCAUUGUCUUACUAACUAUAACCAUUAACUCAUACUAA
rnacentral:lncRNA from 1 species